GAUGAACGCUGGCGGCGUGCCUAAUACAUGCAAGUCGAACGGAGGGUAGCAAUACCUUCAGUGGCGAACGGGUGAGUAACGCGUUGGUACCUGCCCCGAAGCGAGGGAUACCGGGACGAAAGUCUCGCUAAUACCCCAUGUGCUCCGCAAGGAGUAAAGGAGAAAUCCACUUUGGGAGGGGCCUGCGUCCCAUCAGCUAGUUGGUAGGGUAACGGCUUACCAAGGCGAUGACGGGUAGGGGACCUGAGAGGGUGAACCCCCACAAUGGAACUGAAACACGGUCCAUACACCUACGGGUGGCAG
rnacentral:rRNA from 1 species